rnacentral:rRNA from 1 species
GACGAACGCUGGCGGCGUGCUUAACACAUGCAAGUCGAACGGUGAAGCGCCUUCCUUUUUGGUGGGUGUGGAUGAGUGGCGAACGGGUGAGUAACACGUGAGUAACCUGCCCCCUUCUUCUGGAUAACCGCAUGAAAGUGUGGCUAAUACGGGAUAUUCUGGGUCUGUCGCAUGAUGGGUCUGGGAAAGAUAUUGUUUCGGUGGGGGAUGGGCUCGCGGCCUAUCAGCUUGUUGGUGGGGUGAUGGCCUACCAAGGCGGUGACGGGUAGCCGGCCUGAGAGGGUGGACGGUCACACUGGGACUGAGACACGGCACAGACUCCUACGGGGGGCAGCAGUGGGGAAUAUUGCACAAUGGGCGCAAGCCUGAUGCAGCGACGCCGCGUGAGGGAUGGAGGCCUUCGGGUUGUGAACCUCUUUCGCCAGUGAAGCAGGCCUGCCUCGUUUGUGGGUGGGUUGACGGUAGCUGGAUAAGAAGCGCCGGCUAACUACGUG